UACGGAGGAUGCGAGCGUUAUCCGGAUUUAUUGGGUUUAAAGGGCGUGUAGGCGGGAGCGCAAGUCAGAUGUGAAAACUCAGGGCUCAACCCUGAGCCUGCAUUUGAAACUGUGUUUCUUGAGUGCUGGAGAGGCAAUCGGAAUUCCGUGUGUAGCGGUGAAAUGCGUAGAUAUACGGAGGAACACCAGUGGCGAAGGCGGAUUGCUGGACAGUAACUGACGCUGAGGCGCGAAAGCGUGGGGAGCAAACAGG
rnacentral:rRNA from 1 species